AUCAUUAUCGAUGGCCGCGCCGUGAGCGCCCUGGUGCAGGAUCGGCCGGCCACUGACCACACCCUUACUUUACGAGCACCUUUCGUUCUCCUUCGGCGGGGCAACCCGCCGCUGGAACCUCAUCAAACCUUUUUUUGCAUCUAGCAUUACCUGUUCUGAUAAAAAACAAUCGUAACAACUUUCAACAAUGGAUCUCUUGGCUCUGGCAUCGAUGAAGAACGCAGCGAAAUGCGAUAAGUAGUGUGAAUUGCAGAAUUCAGUGAAUCAUCGAAUCUUUGAACGCACAUUGCGCCCCUUGGUAUUCCAUGGGGCAUGCCUGUUCGAGCGUCAUCUACACCCUCAAGCUCUGCUUGGUGUUGGGCGUCUGUCCCAUCUCUGCGCGCGGACUCGCCCCAAAGGCAUUGGCAGCAAUNCACGAGGCGGCCCGGCCCGCAUCCAGAAGCCCACAUUACCGUCUUUGACCUCGGAUCAGGUAGGGAUACCCGCUGAACUUAAGCAUAUCAAUAAGCGGAGGAAAAGAAACCAACAGGGAUUGCCCUAGUAACGGCGAGUGAAGCGGCAACAGCUCAAAUUUGAAAUCUGGCUCCUUUGGGGUCCGAGUUGUAAUUUGCAGAGGGUGCUUUGGCAUCGGCGGCGGUCUAAGUUCCUUGGAACAGGACAUCGCAGAGGGUGAGAAUCCCGUACGUGGGCGCCUGCCUUUGCCGUGUAAAGCCCCUUCGACGAGUCGAGUUGUUUGGGAAUGCAGCUCUAAAUGGGAGGUAAAUUUCUUCUAAAGCUAAAUACCGGCCAGAGACCGAUAGCGCACAAGUAGAGUGAUCGAAAGAUGAAAAGUACUUUGGAAAGAGAGUCAAAUAGCACGUGAAAUUGUUGAAAGGGAAGCGCUUGCAGCCAGACUUGCCCGCAGUUGCUCACCCAGGCUCCGGCCUGGGGCACUCUUCUGCGGGCAGGCCAGCAUCAGUUUGGGCGGUUGGAUAAAGGCCUCUGUCACGUAUCUCCCUUCGGGGUGACCUUAUAGGGGAGGCGCAAUGCAACCAGCCCGGACGAGGUCCG
rnacentral:rRNA from 1 species